AUGUUUCUAUGGAUAAAAGUAAGAGAAGAACCGCUAUGCUUAGAGGUAGAAGAAAUUUUUUUAGAAAAAGCGUUUUCUAGUGAUUGCUUUCAUAAAAGUGAUGAAGUUCUUAAAAUGAUCGGUGUUCCUUCUAUUGAUUCUUUGUUUAGUAAAAUUAAGAUUGAUAAUAAAGGGACUGAAGAAGAGUCAACUUUAGCUAGAAGGCGUCCUGGUAAUUCGGAGGGUGAAAAUCUUGUUAAGAAAAUUGAUAAAAGUGGGUUUGAAGAGGUCAAAACUUUAACUAGUGAUGUGCCCACUCUUUUGGAUUACAAAGACUUUAAUCAUGAUAGUUGCUCUUUGAUUGAUUGUAUUUAUUUGUUGCAAUUCAUGAUAAAUUCACCCCAUGCUUAUGAACAUAAUAAAGCUUUUACUAAACAUAUUUUUGAUGCUAUGAUGAAAGCUUUAGAAGAAAAGUUGGAAUUAGAGAUUUCAAUUCCUAGAAAAUUGCAUGAUGAACGGGAACCUACUAUCAAAUUCAAGAUUAAAAAUUAUGAGUGUUUUGCUUUAUGUGAUUUGGGUGCUAGUGUUUCUACAAUUCCGAAAUCUUUAUGUGAUGUGCUUGGUCUUACCGAUAUUGAAGAGUGUUCUCUAAAUUUGCACUUGGCGGAUUCCACUAUUAAAAAG
rnacentral:rRNA from 1 species